AUGGUGUCCCAACAGGAAAAGACUAACUACUGGGCAAAAGAUGCGGUUAAACAAGUCACAGAAGAACCCACAGCCCCAUCCGUGACCCCUGCUCGCCCCCCACGUUUCCCAGAUGACGGCAGCUGGAGAGCCUUCCUCCGACAGCCGUCCCAGGCCACGGAGAGGCGGCCCCGCAGAGAGCGGAUGUUUGUGAAGCUCCCCUUGGAGGGAAAGCUGCCCCCAACGCUGAACACUCCCGUCUCGAGGCGCAGACAGGGGAGCGGUCACGAGCCGGCCAGGCCCUUUUACAGCCAAAAUCGGGGGCUCAGAACAUUCUUUAAUGAUUUCCGAGCCACCAAGUGCAUUGGGCGGCCCCGCCUGUCUUCGUUCCCUGAGACGUGGUGCUUUCUCUCCUGGAGCCCCGUGUUGGGGACGCUUCAACCGCAGGCCUUGCCUCCCUCCCACAGUGCUGAGGAAGGACAGGCCCUCCCUUCCCCAGGAAAGCUCAGGCUGGAGAAGCCCAGGUGUGGGGGGAAGUUCUGAGCUGGCAUUGUCACCCCCGGGUCUAGUAUUCCCGCAGAGUGGACCCAGGCCCUGA